rnacentral:rRNA from 1 species
AAAAUCUGGCAGUGUUUCACUGUCCGAGUUGUAACCUAGAGAAGUGUAACCUGUGCUGGACCGUGUAUAAGUUUCCUGGAAUGGAGCAUCAUAGAGGGUGAGAAUCCCGUCUUUGACAUGGACUACCAGUGCAUUGUGGUUGUGCUCUCAACGAGUCGAGUUGUUUGGGAAUGCAGCUCUAAAUGGGUGGUAAAUUCCAUCUAAAGCUAAAUAUUGGCGAGAGACCGAUAGCGAACAAGUACCGUGAGGGAAAGAUGAAAAGAACUUUGGAAAGAGAGUUAAACAGUAUGUGAAAUUGUUGAAAGGGAAACGUUUGAAGUCAGUCGCGUUAGCUGGGGAUCAGCCUGACAUUGUUGGGUGCACUUCCUGGUUGAUGGGCCAACAUCAGUUUUGACUGCCAGAAAAAGGCCAAGGGAAUGUGGCACCUUUGGGUGUGUUAUAGUCUUUGGUCAUAUAUGGUGGUUGGGACUGAGGAACGCAGUGUGCCGAAAGGCCGGGUUUCGACCACGUUCACACUGAGGAUGUUGGCAUAAUGGCUUUAAGCGACCCGUCUUGAAACACGGACCAAGGAGUCUAACAUGCAUGCGAGUGUUUGGGUGGAAAACCCUUACGCGUAAUGAAAGUGAAAGUUGAGAUCCCUGUCGUGGGGAGCAUCGACGCCCGGACCAGAACUUUUGUGACGGAUCUGCGGUAGAGCA